CGAAGAGGAAGGUACGUCGAUCUUAUACUCUGUGCUUCUAGACUACAAUAUACAUUUUUUUCGAUUAAUUAACAAUUAUUUCAGUUACGUAAGAAAUGUAGACGAUAGGGGGUUGUUCGUCGGAGGAAAUCCACGUUUCCAGCCGCUGUUCGGGUAAAUAGAUGAAAUUCUAACAAACUGGGAGCUCGAUCACAUGGUUGUCUUCUGGCAAGAUGGCAAAAUCCAUUGCGUGGUUCUCUUCGACAAUUCUACGUACGGGUAUAAAAGUCUCUUGAAAGUUUUACAUGCUUCCAAGGAUUUUAGAUUCCAAGGUUCUGUUUUUUAAAAACUACACCAUUUCUUUUAAAAUCGUCAAUGCAUUUAAAUAGAUUUUAUUUCAUGAAGAAAAAAGAUAUGUAUAUACAUACAUGUACAUAUUUAGGACACUAAUGUUGGACACG